GGAUCGCUAGCUCAACGAUGGAGAGCGGCCGGUAGCUAACCGGAGAGAUGGAGGUUCGAAUCCUUCGCGGUCCACCA
rnacentral:tRNA from 1 species